GCCUUCAUGGCUUAGACGGGAAAACACACGACUAUGAAUCGGGUACGAUUCGGGUUAGAGCCGCGCUGAAGGCA